rnacentral:rRNA from 1 species
CGUGAGUGAAGAAGGCCUUUGGGUCGUAAAGCUCUGUCAACUGGGAAGAAAUUAUUAUGCUUUAAUAGAGGAUAGUAUUGACGGUACCAGUGGAGGAAGCGCCGGCUAACUCCGUGCCAGCAGCCGCGGUAACACGGGGGGCGCAAGCGUUAUUCGGAAUUAUUGGGCGUAAAGGGCGCGUAGGCGGUUUUGUCGGUCAGAUGUGAAAGCCCAGGGCUCAACCCUGGACGUGCAUUUGAAACAGCAAGACUUGAGUACGGGAGAGGAAAGCGGAAUUCCUGGUGUAGAGGUGAAAUUCGUAGAUAUCAGGAGGAACACCGAUGGCGAAGGCAGCUUUCUGGACCGAUACUGACGCUGAGGCGCGAAGGCGUGGGUAGCGAACAGGAUUAGAUACCCUGGUAGUCCACGCAGUAAACGAUGUUCACUAGGUGUAGCGGGUAUUAAAAUCUGCUGUGCCGCAGCUAACGCAUUAA